CCAGGAGCCAGACCUGUGCUUCUCCAGGCCGUGGUUCACGCCCGCGUUGACACUUAAGGCCUACAAAGCCCUCGGAGGGCAGGCUCCGCCAGGGGCCCGGGGGCCAGGAAAAUGCAGGCCCUGCUCCACUGUCGCCCGGCAACGCCACACACAAACAUUUGCUGCCGGGAAGAGGCGAGCGGCAUUAAAGCCGCCUGACGGGGAGGUGAUGGGGCAGCAGGGAGAGGCGGAGGUAGACAGUGUGUAAUUGCCAAGCCGGAAGGCUGGCCUGUGGCCAGCGCAUCGAGUUUAACCGUCUGUGUCACUGCCCUCCACGUUCAAGGAGAAUGCUGCCUGCGGCCAUGAUUCCGGGCUGAGGGCCCUGUCGCGGUCUGGCCUGGGCCGACCCUGGGAGGGCACCCCUGGGGUCAGCUCUUGGCGCGGGUUCCCACCCCUCCAUCACAUCACAUCACAUCACAGCCCGGGCAGCUGCGCCCGGACCCGGGUGUGGAAGGAGAGGCCAGCCCCGGCUCUGGGGCGCCCCUCCACGGGCGCCCCUGCACGUCUGAACAGGGCCUCGGGUCCCCUCCUCCCUCUGCCCUGCCCCUGCGGCCGUGGGCUCGCUGCUUUGGAAACGGCUUCCAAGGAGGGAACGGGCUCGCGGAGGAUCUUUUGCUCGACCACAGCCCCCUGUCCCUGACGGGCUGCUCCAGCAGACCAGGCAGAGCUCAGCCGAAGCCGGGAGCCAACACGGAGACCCUGAGGCUUUCAGAUAUGGACGAGAAAAUUGGGGCUCGGGGACGCUCUAAGUAAAUCUCCUGGCGUCAGGGGAAUAGUCUCUGUCUUGUUGACAUCACCAGGAUUUGGCCCCUUCGGUGAAGUUCAUCGAUCGAACAAAUCAUACAUCACCGGCGGAGCUCAAGAGUCCCAGGUGAACAGCCACGUCCAACGUGGUAAGAGACAUGAUGUUAUUAAGCAUAGGUGACUGUGCAUUCUCCCAACUGGAGAAGGUGACCGUGUUGGGGAAGGUUCUGGAGAAGUGACACUGCCCUGCUGGUCAGUUGGUCAAGACACAGACAUGGGCCCCCAGAGGACAUACGUAAACUUCUUAGGUCUUCUCCAGGCUGGCUCUCACGGUUGUUCCCCUGUAAGCUUGGCCACGCACCCAUAUUUUUUUCUUAUCUUCCAUACAGACGCAAGAUCAAUAACAUCCAUUUUAGAGACAAGAAAUCCAAAGUGCAAAGGGAUCCAGACUCGGCCCUUUUGUUGCCGUUCUGAACUUUGAAGAGCCUUCUUCACUCUAGAGCUCCUUGUGGGACCCAUCAAGGCCACUCAGCUUUUCCCCUGCUCAAUCUUCUCCCCUCACUCUGACUCAAGAGUUGACCUGGAGACCACAACCUAGUAAACCUCCUCCAUGCCAGUUUCCAUCUCAAAAAAGUCUGCAUCCUAGAGAACCUGAUCUAAGACACCAUGUUACAUAUCUUUCUCGUCUGACUUUGGUAGCCUGUGAAUAACAAAACAUCCAAAUUAACAGUGA